ensembl:lncRNA
CUCUUUUCCUUUUCUCUUCUCUGCGGAGAUGCUGAGCAGAUGCGAUGUAGACCCCAACGGAGUAAGAGGCCCGGGACCUUAUGUCCAAACUUGGCAGCCUUAUUCUUGGAGCUGUGAUAUGUUGAGAACCCUAACAGCAUGGAUACAUCAUUGGAAGUAUAAAAUACAGGAGAAAAGUUCAUUGGAAGAACGAUACACGAUCUUCUCUCCCCCUCAGUGAAGGGUGUCACACGGCAUUCUGGCCACAGCCCUCUCCCCUGUGUUCCAGUCAACAAAGUGGUUUGGUAAUGUUGCUCUUGUUUUAAUUCAUCUAGAACUAAAUACAGAACUAUGUUAAUGUUUUCUCUGAACAAAACCCCAAAACAGUGAUGGAAAACAGGAGAUGUGGUAAACGGACACAUUAAGGGUUCAGUCUUAAAGUCUGUGUUCAAAAGAAUCUCCCAAGGGCCUUUAUGAGGCAGCUACACCAACCUCCUUUGCUUUCUAAAACUCAUCUGGCAGCAAUGAACAAUUUGAGGUUUUAAAAUAUAGAAUAGUUGCCAAGCAGAAGGUUGAAAAAUGUUCCUGGUGCCUGUUCCACAUGUGACUUUCCUGCAGGGCUCCUUCCUCUGAAAAGGGAAAGGUUAGCAUAGAGAGACAAGUGUUACCAUUCUUAACGGACUCUUUAGGACAGGAGAGUAAAAAUUGUUUUCCUGGGUUGGGGAGAUGGCUCAGUGCAUUAAAAAAAUGCUUCCUGUGCAAGCAUGAGACUGAAGUUCAGAUUCCUGGCACUCACAUAAAAAGCUGGCCAGUGCCAGUGGCCUGUCUAUAAUCUCUGCACUUGGGAGACAGAGAUAGAGGAAGACUGGCAAGAUAGACGGGAAUCAGUGUGCUCUGGUUCCAGCAAGAGAGUCUGCCUCAGUAAAUAGAGAAUGCUCAAGAAAAUGAAUGGAUGACAGCCUCUGGCCUCUACCUGCAUGUGCACCUGAGCAUGUCCACAAAAGCAUCAAUAGAAAUAUAUGAGAACACACACACACACACACACACACACACACACACACACACACACACACACACACACUCUCCAUACACAUACACACUACACACACACACACCAUACACAUACACACUACACACAGACACACACUCACACAUACACACACUCCAUACACAUACACACUCCUCACAGACACACACUCCACACACACACACACACACACACACACACACACACACACACAUACAUACACACACUCCAUACACAUACACACUACACACAGACACACACACACUCCAUACACAUACACACUACACACAGACACACACUCACACAUACACACACUCCAUACACACUCCACACACACACACACACACACACAUACAUACACACACUCCAUACACAUACACACACACAUACUCCUCAUAGGCACAUACAUGAAUAAAGAUUAUUUCCUCAAAUAGAUUUUAGUGAACUAAAGGAAACUGAAGUUCAUGAGAAAAAGCACACUGUGUGUGUCCUGGCACUUACCUCAACAGGUCUCCAUGGUGUAAACUGCUCUGCUAUAGUCAUUUGUAACCAAAUGCCACCACUGCACAUGCUCAAGUUUAAGACAUCUUUCACGGGGCUCUCGGCUGGCUAAUCUGAAGGUUCUAACUAAGCUCUACAGGGAUGCAGGUACAUAAGAAGCACAAGUGCUGUCAAUCACCAGGAUUCAUCUUUGUCUUCUCUGUCAGCCAACGUUUUCCCAUCACCAUAUAACACACUGCCAGUUACACAGAAAUCAUGUGUGUUACCAUGGGAUUUCAUUUGUCUGUUGGGCAGAGAAUUUUCACACCCCCAGUGAUAAAAUGUUAGACUCAGGAAGCUCUAUUUUCCCAUCCUAGUCCAAAGAAGAGGACUCAGCAGUCAAAAUUAGUCAUGUGACCUGCCUCCUCCCAACUACACAAGCUAGAGUGGUCCUAACCAUACUCUUUCAAUGACAAAGAAUUGGAAUGAAGAGACCUGGGAUGACUAACAAGAAGGGGAUCAGCCUCUUAGAAGUUGCUUUUAUCAAGAAGUCAAUGACCGCUCACUGAGGUCCACAAACAAUUAAAAGCUGGGUGAAAGCCUGGAAUAUCUACUUCAGUUUGCUCCCUUUGGCCACCACCAUCCCUCUUCAAGUGGGCAUGGCGACCACUUAGGGAGCCCCUGUGGAGGCACUGGAGAUAGCCAGCCUAUUUCAUUCUGCUUCAGGGUUGAUGGCAUGAAGAACCAAUGUUCUCAAACAGCAUUUCCAAAAAUUGGCUAAACACAUUAUGGGGACAGUGGAAAACAUGAAGCAUGCUUUUGGACUUUAUGCGUAAGAAUUUGAAAACAGAUAUAUCAAAAUGUCUGGAAAAAUGAUAUUUUGAUAUAUUUCUCACUCUUAUGUCUUCAGUCGACAUAAAUAAGCCACCUGCCAGUUUUCAAUAGAAUUUGUAGAGCUGCAAACUGGCAUCCAAGUUAAAGAAUUUGCUCAUGUCCCUUUACUAAUUUUUCAUAGGUCCUGUCUUCCCCAGAGCAACGGCCUUGACUUAACAAUCAUUAUGUGUGUUUUCACUUAACGAGCAUUUGUGGGUGACUAUUUUCAAGAACGAAGCACACCAAAAGCCAAGUUAGAGUCAAAGUAGUGAGUGCCUGGGGAAUCCGCUGAGAACUGCAAUUACUUGCAAUUACACACAGCAGCCGUGGUGGUAGAGGUGUUUCUGUUGAACAUACACAGGACAUCCAUGUCCUGCUCUGUUUCUCUCUGCCUUACUCCUUUGAAACAGGUUCUUUCCCUGCACCUGGAGCUAGGUGCCAGCAAGCCCCAGCAAUUCUGUCUUUGCCUCCACACAGCACUGAAAUUGCACAGCCAUGCCUGGCUGUUUAUAUGUCAUCCGGAUUUGAAUUCAUGUCCUUAUGCUUGCACAAGCAAGCACUCUUCCUCAGUGAGUCCUCUCCAUGGCCCUCAAACUUGAUACUGAUCCAUCAGUUCUCAAAUAGAAUGCCAAUUUCGCUAUGUUGCCUUCUUUUUCCUUGCUUUUAUAGAAGUAUUUUUAAAAAUCAAUUCCGUUUCAUCACUUAGAUAUGCUCAUCUUCUUUAUUAGUGACUACAAACUUGAGACCUGCUCAGUGAUUUGAAAAGAGUCUCCAAAUGAGGCACUCAUGGAGCCAAAGUGAGCCAAUCCACAACAGCUUCACUUUCCAGAGACAACCUGGGCAUCGAUCCUCCUGUGGCCUCUUCUAGGUUUCUCAACAUCUACCUUGCCGUCCUAAUCUUAUCUCCUUCCCAUGAUUUGCCUCCCACCCACUAUCCAUCCUGGCUUUACUCCAUCUAGGACACAAAUCUAGAGUUCUGACGUCUAAUAACCUAUGUUCAUCUCCUCAAUGGAGAGGAAGUUCUUUGAUGUCAGGGAUAUAUAUUUUUUCAUGUUUGUAUUCCUAGAGCCCAGAAGUGUACCUAAGAUAUAGCAUUAUGUACUCAAUGCUCUCAAAAGAGGGGGGUGAGUAUAGGACACACACAUAAGUGUCAGGGACAUUAACUGUUAACCUUGCGAUCCUCCUCCGGUGUGCUCCACAAUGCUCACAGUGUUACGGAAAAGGAAGUUCUGCACACAGAAGCUCUGCGUCAACCCAGGCUGAAGCGCUUCUGUUUCUUUAUUCUAGGCAGGGCCUGUAAGGACUCAGGCAUUAUGCUGGCCUGCCCCUGUCUCCUGACAGAAUGCACUCGGGCAGUACCCUGGUCAGCCCAGGGUUCCAUGAGUCCUAGUCUGCAGAGAUGCAAAGGACCCUUUUAAAAGACAGACCCCCACCCACUUCUGUUCUCUUUCCUACUUCUCUCUUUCCUGCUGUUCCCCUGGGGCAGACAGGACUUUUCCUGUCUCCCUCUUCUCUUCUGUCCCCUCUCUGUGUCUCUUUUUACACACACACACACACACACACACACACACACACACACACACACACACACCGUCUACAUGAGGCACACUGUCAGCAAAAAAAAAAAGCAGCAAAAGCAAGAAUAUGACAAACAGCUGAAGCAUGAGCAAUUAAUACCGUCUGAAUGUGGAAAACAAAGCUUAAUUUAGAAAAGAAAAAAAAACGAAUACAAACAAAAUGCUGGAUGGCUGUUUGCCUGUCCAGUGUGACCAUCAGCAGCAACAGGACAUUCGAAGCAUCACCACAGCCUUUCUGAUAUGAGGGGCCAGGGCCUGGGCUGGAAGCACAGGGUGACAUCGGGCUGCCUCACCUGGCUCCCCUACUUUUCCGGUGGACUUUCCACGCUUACGCUCACCGCCUGGACCCCAGAUGGCUGCCAGAAGCUUCAAGUACCUUUCCUCUCAUUCUGGCAUCACAAAUGAUAAAGAAACAGCACAGUACCCUGCCCAAAGGCCUAAGGGGUGCAUUUAGAGCUCGGUUUUAGCAGAGUAAAACCUCUUUCCCAGAACCCCUUGGCAUCCUCCUUCCAGUUCACUGGCAGACCAUGUCACAUCACCCCCUGCUAGCAAGCUAACUGGGACAAUACUAUGAAGCCGGGGGAAAUGGGGUUUCAUAUCUGACCUAGAUUUAGAACCACUUACUGAUUGAUGCUUGAGGAGGUGCCAGUCUUCUCCGAAGCAAUUAGAUGAUUCUUUAAUAUGCGAUCUGUUUUUACCAUGUCUGUUUUUGUAAUUUUUCCCAAUUUUCAAUGGCUUUGGUCAGCAGCUAUUUUCCAGUGAGCUUUCAUUUUUAUAAUGAAGCCUAGUUUUAAUUGGUGUUAGCUUUUUGUACUAUUUAUAUAAAAUCAUAUCUGCCCCCUCAGCCUAUCACAAUAUCCUCAAUUACAACAGCAAAACUAAAAAAAAAAAAUCACAGUUCUGUCUUAAAGGAAAGGAGGCUUUUGGGGAGGAGACAAGAAAUGAACCCACAAAGAAUGGAGUGCUUGCCUUAUCCGAGUUUUAAACCAUGCGUGGAAGUACAGGCUUGUGAUUCCAACACUUGGGAGGCACCACAGGAGGAUCUGGAACUUAAAGCCAUCUUUAUCGUCCACUACACCAUGAAUUGGAGGCCAGCCUGGGCUACACUAAGACCAUUUUCAAAAUAGAAGUAACUGCCUAAAUUUAGAGAUUACUGGCUAAGAGUAGGUUGAGGUGUCUGCUUCGGUCUCAGGACUUGAGGGUACUGCUAUGGGUUGCUUCUCCCUUCACAGUCAUCUUUCCUUUUGCUACUCAUCAUCUCUGUGUGAAAACCACAGUGGUUUUCCUGUAUAUUUUUCUUUUUAUUCUUUAAUCCUUCUGAUGGGGAAUGUACUGUGUAUGUUUAUCUUAUUGUUAAAUAAAAUACUGUUUGGCCAAUGGCAAGCAAGGACUAGGAGUCAAAGAGGAUUCUGGGAAAUGUAGUAGAGAAGUGAUGAUCCAGGCAGGAAGUGACAUGGCAAGGAGACUCAUAUCUAAGCGAGGAAACAAGAAGUAUGACUCUUUUCCCCCUCUGCUCCUGCUCCAGCGGCACAAUGUGAUCCACCGGCAAGGAGGGACGCCAAUAAGGUGUCUGAUAAGUCUUAUAAAAUAUAUAGGUUUAUGAUAAUUAAGACUGAGCUAACAGAUGAGAAUCCUAAUCAUUGGCCAAGCAGCAUUGUACCUAAUACAAGUUUUGUGUAUUCAUUUGGGCCCUAACUCAGGCUGUCGGCUGGCGUAAAGCUCACACGUGGCGGUGGGGCUCCGGCAGCUUUUGGCAGAAAGAUUUAUUGUAACAUCCUUGUACCGGUUAGAAUUGGAGUUUGUGGAAGAAAGGAAGAAAAAGACCCAAACUACAAUGGCUUCAAUUAAGCAACAGUGUUUUCUAUCGGUCAAAGAACUAGGGCAGAUUGAUUAAAGUUCAUAGGUGGCCCUACCCAAAAAGUCCUUGGGAGCAUUUUAAUGUCUUAUGAAGCAUUGCCUAAUUACACAAUUAAAAAUGACAAUUAGAAUCUUAAAAAGCCAAAAACAAUGUUUUCAGCACCCAGGCUCUUGUUUUCAUACAAGCCUGAAGUUUGAAUUACCAAAAUGGCUACUGUAGAAGCAGCCAACCAACACCUCCCAGUCAAGUGGAGGAUUGGAUGUGUUUCCCAAACAGCUGUGGCUUCCAGCCAUAUCAUAUUUUUAUAUUUGCACUUACAGCCAUGCCCUAGGGCUCAGUACUAAGCUGAGAGGCUGACAAAAUAUCCUUCUACUAGGUGCCCACACACCCAGCUAAAAUGAGGACACAUUUUAUUACUUAAAAUAUUGUUUCCAUUUCUAUGGGGAAAGAAAGAGAUUUGAUGUUGGGGGGGGGGGCUGUCAGCAGUCCACAUCCUCUGUUCCUGUAUUGGAUUUUGUCCAGCAGAGACACACAAAAGUUUCUUCCGAUUUUUCAGUCUGAUCCACAUGAUCUCAUUGGUGUCUAGGAAAAGAUUUCACAGACCUGAUAGAAUAGGAAAAAUGGUCAUCAGUGAAGUUCACAUCAAAAGCUAGGCUAUAUUUCUUUAAUUCUGCCAAGCCUUAGGAACAAACUUGUCCUUGCACCAGGACUAAAAAGUUAUAAACACAAGUUGAAAACUGAACACCCAAGGACUUCAAGAAGCUGACUCCUGUUGUGCUGACUCUGUGUGGUAUUAAUCUACUGCAAAUAAAUAUAAUCAUUUAAAUAAAAUUAUGCAAAUAGCAAUUAUUUUCACCAGCUUGAGUAUUUUCUUGAGAAAAUUUCAAUAUGCAAAUUUUACACCGCAG